UAUUGCUCAGCAGUUCACAGAGCUUUAGUUACGCCGUCUCUGACUCUGGUUACAGCAGUCAAAUCCUGACAAUGCAACGUCUGCAAGAUGGAAUAGAGAUGGAGGACAGUAGCUCUCUUCUGAAACCUAGCAGACACACCACAUCCCAAGAGCCUCGGCAAGAAACAUGUGCUUUCCUUUGGGAACUCAACACAGUCAACAAAAAAGAUUCCUCUCCUAUGGUGGAUUAAGUUGCCCAGCUGGCUUAGUCAACAGAGUGGCAGUUGAUACCAACACCGAUCACUAGCCUAUACGCAAAGAUUCCCAGCUUUCACUGCUGCGUGACAUCACAUCCUUUGUGGUUUCAGUUGCUA